GUUAUAGGGUCAAGCGAAUAAGUGCAUGUGGUGGAUGCCUUGGCGAUCACAGGCGAUGAAGGACGUAGUAGCUUGCGAAAAGCUGCGGGGAGCUGGCAAACGAGCUUUGAUCCGCAGAUGUCCGAAUGGGGAAACCCGGCCCGUAUGGGUCAUCCCUUGCUGAAUACAUAGGCAAGGGAGGCGAACGCAGUGAACUGAAACAUCUAAGUAGCUGCAGGAAAAGAAAUCAACCGAGAUUCCCAAAGUAGUGGCGAGCGAAAUGGGAACAGCCUUGUACUCUUUAGCAGUAUUGUUAGCGGAACGGAAUGGAAAGUCCGGCCAUAGUGGGUGAUAGCCCCGUACGCGAAAACAGUAUUGUGGAACUAGGUGUACGACAAGUAGGGCGGGACACGUGAAAUCCUGUCUGAAGAUGGGGGGACCAUCCUCCAAGGCUAAAUACUCGUGAUCGACCGAUAGUGAACCAGUACCGUGAGGGAAAGGCGAAAAGAACCCCGGGAGGGGAGUGAAAUAGAUCCUGAAACCGCAUGCAUACAAACAGUCGGAGCCUGGAAACGGGUGACGGCGUACCUUUUGUAUAAUGGGUCAGCGACUUACAUUCAGUGGCAAGCUUAACCGAUUAGGGAAGGCGUAGCGAAAGCGAGUCCGAAUAGGGCGUUCAGUCGCUGGGUGUAGACCCGAAACCAAGUGAUCUAUCCAUGGCCAGGUUGAAGGUGCGGUAACACGUACUGGAGGACCGAACCCACUAACGUUGAAAAGUUAGGGGAUGAGCUGUGGAUAGGGGUGAAAGGCUAAACAAACUUGGAAAUAGCUGGUUCUCUCCGAAAACUAUUUAGGUAGUGCCUCGUGUCUCACCUUCGGGGGUAGAGCACUGUCAUGGUUGGGGGGUCUAUUGCUGAUUACCCCGCCAUAGCAAACUCCGAAUACCGAAGAGUGCAAUCACGGGAGACAGACAUCGGGUGCUAACGUCCGGUGUCAAGAGGGAAACAACCCAGACCGCCAGCUAAGGUCCCUAAGAUUGGCUAAGUGGGAAACGAAGUGGGAAGGCUAAAACAGUCAGGAGGUUGGCUUAGAAGCAGCCACCCUUUAAAGAAAGCGUAAUAGCUCACUGAUCGAGUCGUCCUGCGCGGAAGAUGUAACGGGGCUAAGCCAGUCACCGAAGCUGCGGAUGCACGUAAGUGCAUGGUAGGAGAGCGUUCUGUAAGCCUGUGAAGGUGUCUUGUAAAGGAUGCUGGAGGUAUCAGAAGUGCGAAUGCUGACAUGAGUAGCGAUAAAGGGGGUGAAAGGCCCCCUCGCCGUAAGCCCAAGGUUUCCUACGCAACGUUCAUCGGCGUAGGGUGAGUCGGCCCCUAAGGUGAGGCAGAGAUGCGUAGCUGAUGGGAAGCAGGUUAAUAUUCCUGCACCGUCGUAUGAUGCGAUGGGGGGACGGAUCGCGGAAGGUUGUCCGGGUGUUGGAAGUCCCGGUCCCUACAUUGGAGAUGGCACUUAGGCAAAUCCGGGUGCGUGAUUCAAGGGUGUGGGGCGAGCGACGUUAGGUCGCGAAGCAAUUGGAAGUGGUUCCAAGAAAAGCCUCUAAGCUUCAGUCAUACGAGACCGUACCGCAAACCGACACAGGUGGGCGAGAUGAGUAUUCUAAGGCGCUUGAGAGAACUCGGGAGAAGGAACUCGGCAAAUUGGUACCGUAACUUCGGGAUAAGGUACGCCCUUGUAGUUUGACUGGCUCGCGCCAGAAGGAUGAAGGGGUUGCAAUAAAAUGGUGGCUGCGACUGUUUAAUAAAAACACAGCACUCUGCAAACACGAAAGUGGACGUAUAGGGUGUGACGCCUGCCCGGUGCCGGAAGAUUAAAUGAUGGGGUGCAAGCUCUUGAUUGAAGUCCCGGUAAACGGCGGCCGUAACUAUAACGGUCCUAAGGUAGCGAAAUUCCUUGUCGGGUAAGUUCCGACCUGCACGAAUGGCGUAACGAUGGCCACACUGUCUCCUCCCGAGACUCAGCGAAGUUGAAGUGUUUGUGAUGAUGCAAUCUCCCCGCGGCUAGACGGAAAGACCCCAUGAACCUUUACUGUAGCUUUGCAUUGGACUUUGAACCGAUCUGUGUAGGAUAGGUGGGAGGCUUUGAAACCGGGACGCUAGUUUCGGUGGAGCCGACCUUGAAAUACCACCCUGGUUUGUUUGAGGUUCUAACCUUGGCCCGUGAAUCCGGGUCGGGGACAGUGCAUGGUAGGCAGUUUGACUGGGGCGGUCUCCUCCCAAAGUGUAACGGAGGAGUUCGAAGGUACGCUUGGUACGGUCGGACAUCGUACCUAAAGUGCAAUGGCAAAAGCGUGCUUAACUGCGAGACCGACAAGUCGAGCAGGUGCGAAAGCAGGACAUAGUGAUCCGGUGGUUCUGUAUGGAAGGGCCAUCGCUCAACGGAUAAAAGGUACUCUGGGGAUAACAGGCUGAUACCGCCCAAGAGUUCAUAUCGACGGCGGUGUUUGGCACCUCGAUGUCGGCUCAUCUCAUCCUGGGGCUGUAGCCGGUCCCAAGGGUAUGGCUGUUCGCCAUUUAAAGAGGUACGUGAGCUGGGUUUAAAACGUCGUGAGACAGUUUGGUCCCUAUCUGCCGUGGGCGUUGGAAUCUUGACGGGGGCUGCUCCUAGUACGAGAGGACCGGAGUGGACGUACCGCUGGUGUACCUGUUGUCUCGCCAGAGGCAUCGCAGGGUAGCUAUGUACGGAAGAGAUAACCGCUGAAAGCAUCUAAGCGGGAAACUCGCCUGAAGAUGAGGAUUCCCUGGAGACUUGAUCUCCCUGAAGGGUCGUUCGAGACCAGGACGUUGAUAGGCUGGGUGUGGAAGCGCAGUAAUGUGUUCAGCUAACCAGUACUAAUUGCCCGUGCGGCUUGAUCCUAUAACC
rnacentral:rRNA from 1 species